UGCUUGCUUUGGCAGCACAUUACUAAAAUUGGAACGAUACAGAGAAGAUUAGCAUGGCCCUAUGCAAGGAUGACACGCAAAUUUGUGAAGCAGUCCAUAUUUUU